GAAAGAGAGAAAUAAAAGGGUAAAACAUGCAGACUUUUCAUAAAUUUGCCACACAUUUGUUUUAUAUCUAUUCAUUUUCAUUGGUAUGUUAAUAUUUGUCUUCAGUUUUUCAUUAUAUUCAUCCAUUAAAAUACCAAAAAGCAGAGCAUUUUGUAUUGUAGCCUAUUGUAUUGUGUUUUUAUAUUAUAUUGACAAUACUUGAAGCCUGUUCACAUAUUGCUCAGGCUGGUUCUUAAAUAAAUACAUCGAUACAUCUUAUUUAGUUUGCAGAGGCGUGUCACCUGAUGCCAUUGUUUAAUGUUUCACAUUUACUAAGGCGUGGUGUUACUGUGGCAACACUCAGAACCAGGAUGCUGGAGUUAUAAACACUGCUACUAGUGAAAAGAGUUCACACCCAUUUCUCUAGGAAAUACUGCUGCUGAUUGGGAAUUAAUGAAUCAGAUUUAGUAAAUUAUGUGCAGUUUUGUUAUUAACAAACAUAAAAUCAUAUAUAAAUAAAACUAAAUACAUUUAACAAUGGCAAACAAAACUUUAAGAUGCAUUUAUCAUAGGGGGAUAAAGCCCGGAACACACCAAGCCGAUGCUGACGAACUAGUGGGGACAAAAGCAGACUCCGGGGUUGGCUCACGUUGGCAGCGUCUGGGUCCAAAGUUGCCCUGACACACCAAACCGACGCUCGACACCCGACAGCCAAGUAGCACAUCCGUUCUGCGCCUGCGUAAGAAGAAAUGCCUUUCCGUACCAGCAGGUGGCAGUAGCUGAACAGCCAAUCAGAACGAUCAGAUGGCCUGACUGACCGACGAGCUUCGACGCCAAUUCAAAAUGUCGAAUCGGCUGAAAAAAAGCAGACGAGGACCAACUUCAGCCGAUGGUGCGGAACACACUGAGAAAACUGACAAAAACUGCCCGAUGGCCGACCGUCAACUUGUUGUGUUCCAGGCUUAAGAGUUUUCAACCAAUCAGGCCCUUUCUAAACUAUUAAUGAGACCUUUUCUCUUUAUACUGUCUAUGUGAAGAGAAAACCUUUUACUUUUCAUUACAGAAGAUAAGUGGUAUUGAGAAUGAAUGGAUGGAGUUAAAAUAUCAUGUUAUUUAUGAUGACUGAACAAUUAGAGACCACGAUGUGCUGAUAAUCACACACAUUUUAGGGUUUUCAGAUUAAUUUACCUCUUUGUGUGUCUCUUUUUGCUGAUUAAAACUAAAAUUAAAUAUAUACACCAAUCAGGCAUAACAUUAUGACCACCUUCCAAAUAUUGUGCUGGUCCCCCUUUUGCUGCCAAACAGCCCUGACCUGUCAAGCAUGGACUCCACUAGACCCCUGCAAGGUGUACUGUGGUAUUUCUAAUUCAUCCCAAAGGUGUUCUGUCGGGUUGAGGUCAGGACUCUGUGCAGGCCGGUCAAGUUCCUCCAAACCAAACAUGCUCAUCCAUGUCUUUAUGGACCUUGCUUUGUGCACUGGUGUGCAGUCAUGUUGGAAUGCCACAGAUACCACAGACCGGGAACACCCCACAAGAGCUACAGUUUUGGAGAUGCUCUGACUCAGUCGUCUAGCCAUAACAAUUUGGCCCUUGUCAAACUCGCUCCAUUCCUUAUGCUUGGCCAUUUUUCCUGCUUCUAAAACAUCAACUUUGAGGACAAAAUAUUCACUUGUGUAGUGAACUUGCUGCCUAAUAUAUCCCAUCCACCCACUAACAGGUGCCGUGAUGAAGAGAUAAUCAAUGUUAUUCACUUUACCUGUCAGUGCACAGCACAGAGUUAAGACGUUUCUUGUAGUUGGUCACCAGGUUUGCACACAUCUCAAGAGGGAUUUUGGUCCACAACUCUUUACAGACCCUCUCUAAAUCGUUAAGGUUUCUUGGCUGUCACUGGGUAACUCGAAGUUUCAGCGCCCUCCACAGAUUUUCUAUAGGAUUAAGGUCUGGAGACUGGCUAGGCCACUCCCUUAAUGUGCUUCUUCUUGAGCCACUCCUUUGUUGCUUUGGUGGAAUGUUUUGGGUCACUGUCAUGCUGGAAGACCCAUCCACGACCCAUCUUCAGUGGCUGAAGGAAGGAGGUUCUCGUCCAAGAUUUUACGGUACAUGCCCUGUUCAUCGACCCCUCAAUGCGGUGAAGUCGUCCUGUACCCUUAGCAGAGAAACAGCCCCAAAGCAUAAUGUUUCCACCUCCAUGCUUGACUGUAGGGAUGGUGUUCUUGGGGUCAUAGCCAGCAUUUCUCUCCCUCCAAACACGGCGAGUUGAGUUGAUGCCAAAGAGCUCAAUUUUGGUCUCAUCUGACCACAGCACUUUCUCCCAAGCCUUCUCUGAAUCAAUUAGAUGUUCAUUGGCAAACUUCAGAUGGGCCUGUAGAGGGGGACCUUGCAGGCACUGCAGGAUUUCAAUCCAUUGCGGCGUAGUGUGUUACCAAUGGUUUUCUUGGCGACUGUGGUCCCAACUGCCUUGAGAUCAUUUACAAGCUCCUCCCAUGUAGUUCUGGGCUGAUCCCUCACCUUUCUCAUCAUCAUCCUUACCCCAUGAGGCGAGAUCUUGCAUGGAGCUCCAGACUGAGGGUGACUGAUGAUUAUUUUGUAUUUCUUGCAUUUCCGAAUAAUCGCACCAAUAGUUGUCUCCUUCUCACCAAGCUUCUUGCUGAUGGUCUUGUAGCCCAUUCCAGCCUUGUGCAGGUCUACAGUCUUGUCCCUGAUGUCCUUUGACAGCUCUUUGGUCUUGCCCAUGGUGGUGGAGAGGUUUGAAUGGAAGAUACAGAUUCUUGCAGGUGUCUUUUAUACACAAACGAGCUGACAUUAGGAGUACAUUCUUAAAGUGACGGGAUUAAUCUGUGUUCGACAUGGGCACAUAAACAAUCUGUAGGAGGCAGAAUUCUUGCUGGUUGGUAGGGGAUCAAAUACUUAUUUCACUUGAUCAAAUGCUAAUCAAUUUAUUAUCUUUAUAUAAUGUGUUUUUUCUGGAUUUUUUGGUUUAUAUUCUGUCUCUAUCCAUUAAAAUAAACCUACCAUAAAAAUUAUAGACUAUUCGUUUCUUUGUAAGUGGGCAAACUUACAAAAUCAGCAGGGGAUCAAAUAAUUAUUUUCCACACUGUAUAUAUGUCUCAUUUGCAGGCCAGCCUCAUGAAAAAAUAUUUUUGCAAAAUUAUAUCAUAUUAUUUCUUGAAAUGAAAUGUCCGGUGAGUGGUGCUAAACGGUUAAUGCUUUAUUGAGUUUGUUGGGAAAAGGGACAAGCAACUUCCUCUUUUAGUUUUUGUUUUAGAUUUAAAGAGAAAAAUCAUGGUAGCCCAAGUACAUUAGGGUUAAUAAGCUUCUACAGAGAGAGUCUUUCUGGAUCUAUACACUGAAAGCAACUAAAUUUCCAGGCUUAAAUGGGGAAUUAGACUUUGUACCUUUUUUGUAAUAAGAUGUUAGACCUGAAAAUAGUAUUUUGUUGAUUCUGGUUUGAAUAAUUUUUUUUUUUUUUAACAUAAAGUUAUACUAUGUAUGUCACCAAAUAUAUACAUUAUUGAUUUGUGGAGUUUGAUUUGUAUAUUUAUUUUUUUUGGAAAUAUAAAUUACAUUGUGUAUAUUAUUGAUUUGUGAUAUUUAUGACAUUGUUGAAAAGUGUUUUUUUUUUUUUUUUCUCAGAAAUUUAAGUUACACUAUGUACAUUAUCGUUUAUAUUCACUGAGUUGUGGAGUCUGAGUUAUAUACUUCAUUCAAUAUAUUAUUCAUUUAUUUUAUUUUUCUUUUGUUUAUUUAUAUUGAUUAUACUGUGUUUGAUUUAAUUUGUUAUGUAAUCGUCAUACUUCCUCUCUUCUGUUUGUCCUUUGUAGCACAACCAGGUGAAUGUCAUUAGACUAAUUAAUUGUUGCUCAAAAUGAACUCUGAAUGUGUUUGUUACUCACACCCUGACGAAAGCAAAAUCAGCUGCAACACGUAGGUGUGCACUUGUCACCUGUUUUAAUAUUUAGCCAUGAUGAAAUAAAGGCUUUUUAAAAACGUUUUCUGUAAGACUUGAGUGCCUUGGACCAUUCUUAAUUUUACAAGUUGAACUAUCCCUUGCACCCAAAGAACACAGAGACAGAACUCAUACCCUGUGCAGCACUUCUUUUGCAUUUUUUGCUUUAUGCAUAGAGGUGUUUGUCUGAAAUGUGUAUCCUUCUGGAGAAAUAAUUACAUCACGGGAAGGAGAGGACAGCCAGAAGAACCAGCAGGCAAAUCAGCGCUGUUGAGACUUAUGUUGAAAAUAAUGAGAGCAAGGUUUAUAUCAGCACUGACGACUGUUAAUAAAAUAACCAGCAACUGCAGCAAAGGUGUAACUGCACUAGGGUAGUGCCAUUGGAGGGCUAUCACCGUACAGCAUCACUGGUGCCAAUCAUCCAGUCAGCUAUCUAUACAACCUAGUUGACGUAGGGCCACAGCAGUUUAAGAUGAAGGCUAGGCAUCAGAUUGAGCCGUAUUUGACUCCUUGUGCACAGACAAUACAUGUGAUGUAAGUAAGGAAACAUCCAAGUGGUAAAAUCUAGCAAAGGUAUUCGGUGAAGACCAACAAGCUGCCAUACUAAUACAGAGGCGGUUUCUUCAUUAGGGCGAUAAGGCAACACACCACCAAAGUUGCGAAAGGGACAUUUUUUUAAUCACAUUCAACAACAGUGUUACGCUAGCUGUCACUGUACUGUUUGUUCUGCCUCUGUAUAUAUAAUCCAAUCAGCGUCAAGUCAUGUUCUGUGAAGUACCGCCCCUUUUUGGGCGAUUUCACUGAUUUGUGAAUCAGUAUAUAGUCUACACCAGGGGUGCCCAACCCUGUUCCUGGAGAUCUACCUUCCUGCAGAGUUCAGCUCCUGCCCUGCUCAACACAUCAGUCUGUAAAGUGCUUCUGAAGAUCUUAAUUAGCUGAUUCAGGUGUGUUUUAUCAGGGUUGGAGCUAAUCUCCAGGAACAGGGUUGGGCACCCCUGGUCUACAAUACAGGAGACUUUUGAGCAGUCACUGAAGGACAAAAAGCUGCUCAUACAAUCUGAACUGGGCAGAGCGCUCAGUGUAAAAGUGCAGUGUGCGCACAGAGCAGAGAACCUGAUGAGUUCUCCCCAUUUGAUUCUUCAGGGGGAAAAAAGUCGACAAGGUUAUGACCUGGGCUCUAAACAGUGUUCAGAGCACCUUUGGCAUGUACCCCUUCUUGGGUUUAAGAAUAAUCCUACAAUCAUUUGGCAAGUCAAUACUAUGCAAGUGCCAUUAGUAGACUAGCUUUUGCAAGUUCCCCACUCUCUUUACAGAAGUAGUAUACUCCCUUCAGCAAGAGUGCUUGUAAUUCAGCUGUCAGCAGUGGCUCAAAUGGAGGCUAUGUGAGAGCUUUUAGGACCAAAGCCAAGUCCCAAGUGAGCAAUGUGGAGGGGUGAGGGGGUUUAACCCCCUCAGAAAGCUUAUCAGCAGGUCAUUUCUUCCAACCGGACGUUUAUCGAUUUAGGAAUGAAAAACCAUAAAAGCGUCCACAUAAACGUUAAGCGUAGAGGGUGCAUGACCAUUGUCUAAUCACUCCUGUAAGUAUGACAGUAUGAUUGACACGGGACAAUUCACGGAGUCCUCACCCUGAGUUAUACACAGUUCACAAAUACUUUCCACUUAUGGGCAUAGAGGCGCCUGGUAAAGGGUGCCUGUACCUCAGUGAUUGUGCCUAGCACUUGCUGUGGCAGAAUCUCUGAUGGUGACUGGGCAGAUGCAUGUUCCACAGUUGUGGGUUGCAGAUUGUGCAGAGCGCUUGGGUCACGAGGUAGUCUCAGCCUCAGACGUCACGCCCACGGACCGUUGGCGUCUGAUGCAUAUGGCACACUUUUCUGGAAACACUUCAGGAGUUUUGAAGUCUGGUUCUUCAUCUGGUUGGUUGAAUUCUACAGGAUGUCUGGGAGAUGUGUGUGUCGCAUUCUUUAACAGUCCGCCUGGAAACAAAUGCUGUGAUGCCAAACCAGCUCGUGGAAGAAGAAAGCCGUUGUGUUUACAACUGUGACGUACGAGCACUUACCAGGAUCAACUAAACGCUGGAUUUUCAAAAGUAUGUGAAGUUUGCGGCUCCAUUGUUGCAGUAAACUUGCACAGUGUUCUUGAAUGAAUAAUUUAUUAGAUGCACGCCGGUCUGUUAUUGUAGGCACAUCGACAUUACAUUUUCAUGCCCCUAAACAUGAUGUGGAACAAAACGAACUGUGAUUGGUUGCGUUACAUGUCAGUCAAAUGGCCUCUGGGCGGUCCUUGGCCAAUGAAAGCUGCGAUAGAGUCCAGUCCUUCUGCCAUCAGCCUGAAGGUCUGGCUACACGAGACUAGUCACGAGGUCCCUUAGCGGUAUGGUCCAGGAGCUUAUAUAACAAUAAGCUUUUUUGCAUAUUUAUUGAAAGUCCAAAGCACCAUCACAAGUGAGCAAAAGGUUUGAGUUUUUGGCUGUUUAACAUAUCCUCUGAAUGAAGAUAAUCCAGCCAAGAUCAAUCAAUCAUCCAAAUAAUUUAGUAUGUGCAUUUCUCUCAGUCUUAGAGGAAAGAGAGCCAUGUUUACACAUUUUGUGAAUGUGCGUGAAGCGAAUGACAGACCGUAGGGCAUGACCGAUAAUUGGUAUUCUGUGCCUUCGAAAGCAAAUCUCAGAAAGAACCUGUAAUGAAGGGCCAUCUGUCUGUGAAUGAACUGCACCAUGCUUGUCAUGCAGCCAAGGGCCUUGCUGCUUCAGAAAGGGGCUGUGUUUUGGCCAUGAAGUCCUUGUCUCACAGCUGGCUCAGGUUCUCUGAGAGGCUGAGGUGGAUCUAGCGAAUUGCCUGGCCUCCGUUGAGCUGAACACUGAGCUGAAGAGGUGAGCGGUGAAGGCUUGAGUGAAGACAGCAGCUGUCUUGAAGUAGAAAGUUUCUGAGAAAAUGACAUUUAGUGCCGCCCUAUAUACCAGUUGAGCCCGCCUCUAUUUUGUGCUUGAUCAUCAAUGUGUACUCAUACUGGCGUGAUUUAUCAACCCUUAAAUGCAUGAAUGUUUGCCAAUCAUUCUUACAUAUUCGGGUCUUUAGCGACCCGGAUCUAUAUCUAACACGGAUGGAUCUCUACCUGUCGCGAUAAUAUAAAACUCCUCUGAUAUUAGAGUAACAAUUACAGAAGAAUAAAAUAAAGCAUGUUUUGUUACCUUUCAGAGCUUGGAAGGGUUCAUUUUGAGCAGUUGUUUUAUGCUAUCAUUACUGUCCUCGUAAGAGCUCAUUUCCCAAGACAUUCAGCAAAUGAUAGUUUUGCGAAUAUGUUUGAGAUCGUGAAUAUGAGCCCAUUCGCGAUCUCAAAAAAUGAUAUCAUUUUCAACAUCUUCAAAAUCAAUAUUUUGAUCGCUGACAGUUUCACCAGAUCCAUCAAGUGACAGUGACAGUCAUAUGAUUGCGUUCAGCACUUGCUCUGCAGUAAAUCGCUUUACAAUUCACAUUUUGCUAAUGAUACUUCCUAUUCUUUUGUUUUCUGUCUAAAUGAAACGUCACUUCAUCAUCUUGUAUCAGACAUUGCCACCUUGUGGAAUAAAGGUGAAUUGCACUUAUUCCGCCAUCAAAGUUUCAAUUAUUGUUCUGCAGAAAAAAAAUAUAUGUACACUGAUACAUACCUGGGGUUAUUAGCGACCCUAUACAAUUUUUACAAAAAACGAAUGGGAAAACAGGUAUUCUUUUAGAAUUUUAUGAUUUUUUUUAAUUUUUUUUUGUUAUAGGCCUAUUGUUUAUAAUGAAUUGAUUGAGAAAUACUAAGAAGGUUGAUGUCUAACUUUAAAAAAUGAAUGAGGAGGAGGGUAGUGAAUGACGUCCUGGGUCGAUAAAGACCCGAGGUAGGCCUAUGCAUUUAAGUGUUAAGGCUUUAGUAUUUUUCAGAGAACGGAGUUUCCCUAUAGCGCCAGGUCAUGAAGCAACGUCGAGUGAACCAAACUUGAAAGAAAACUCAUUAAUAUUUAUAUGUGCCACACUCACAGAAACUGAAAAUCUCAGAAACUCUUGUAACAAUGCAGGGAAGUUGUCCUCCUCAGCCACAGCCGAAGUUAUCCAAAUAAAAGGAAAAAACAAUUGACUUAAGAUGGAAAAAAUGGGAAAAAUUCUAGUGGUGGUAAAUUUGAAAAUCUGCCUACCCAUCUCUAUAUAUUUUUCCUCUUUUAGGAUGUCGUGAAAACUUAAUUGCGAAUUUUUCUUUUGCUGUUGGAGUACAAAAAAAAAAAAAAAUUGAUGCAGUCUCCGUUCACCACUUUUUUUUUUUUUUUUUACCCCUUGUUUCUAUGACAACUUCCCAUACAUAAUAGUAAUAGGGAAGUCCGGUUUUUUUUCCGCGAACCGGUUCUUUCGGAUAGUUCGUUUCAAUAAACCGGUUGAAAAAACCGGCUCACCCGGUUCUUUUACGCUCCGACGUAAUGAUGACGUAAUGACGUCGUCUAUCGCGGGCCGGGAUGAAAAAACACUUAACACAUAACAUCAGUCAACUAAAACAUCAUUAUAAUCUGAAACGUUUUUUACAAUUUAGUUUUGCAUCUAAAGCACACAUAUACAGGCAGAUGGGCAAACGAGGAAGUUUUACAGUUAUAAAGUGAAUAAAUUUGUCUUCAUCAGCGCAGAAACCAUGAUCCACUACUAUACAUAAUCCAUUACGAAUUAUUUGUAAUUAAAUAAAUUUACGUUUCGCCAGAUUGGCCCCUCAUUCAAGUCCUCUCAUAGCAUCAGUUGUCCUAGUUCGGUUCAGACGCCGGUGCUGUCACAGUCAUUACUGUUCGGUAGCUUCAGAUCACACGCUGAAUCACGCAUGCGCAGUGUCAUCAGCUCAUCGGUUCUCAAAUCGGACAUGUCCGAAAGAAGCGGUUCUCGGUUGUGUACUGGUGAUCCGAAAACCGUUGCAACCGAUUCUCGACUCGAGAACGAGAACGGUGACAGGCCGUGUUCGUGAACGCCGCGCAUGCGCACUCAUAUCAGCUGCUCUGCUGCUCGUGCUCAUCCAUAGAUAUACACUAGAUGUCGCCUUGCCUACGGCAGUUCAUUGGAACUAAUGCGUCAAUAGAGCCGCCAUCUUGGAACAGGGGAACCCCUCCUCUUUAAUGCAUCAGCGUCAAUGUAGGCAAAGGUCUAACGGAAAUAAAAUCACCAUAAAUUGUCAUGAAUGCGAUUUUCUAGUUUUUUUUUUUGGUUCAUUCCAACGGUCAGACAUGUAUUUAUCAUUGAGUCCAGAGAAAAUUUAAGGUUUUGAUAUUAAGAUAAUCUACUUUUUAAAAAUAUGAUGCAUAGUGCUAGUAGGCCUAAGUUUAUUAGUCACAUUCUUCCACUUGAGUAAACUUCGAAUGAACUAUCGAUACUUACAUAUAAUUAUCAAAGAAUAAAACAGAAAAAUAACAUGAAAAUCACCACAGUGGUACUUGGGGAGAUCUAGAACAAGAAUCAGGUGGAGUUUGUAGAAAACAAUUUGAUUUCAUAUUUUUAUGAAUUUUUAAAAUAUGUUUGUAUAGCGAGGUAGUCUAUGACUUUGACAUAUAAUUAUUAAAGAAUAAAACAGUAAAACAACAUGAUAGUCACCACAGUGGUACUUAAUUGGGAACAAGAAUGUAUAACAAGAAUCAGGUGAAGUUUGCAGUAAACAGUUUCAUUUUAUUUAUUUUUUAUGAAUUUUAAAAAUAUUUCUACCGACACUUAACACCUACCACGAAACCUCAUGUAGACGCGCAAUAUAUUUUAAGCAUAGAUGGCGUGACCGCAUACAAGUGGCGGAGCAGGUGGGUAUAGCCGUGGCAGGUCGAGUGACAGGCGCGUAUAUCUGUGACAGGUCGCGGGGCAGCGGUGGCAGAUCGCGGGGCAGGCGCGUUUAUCCGUGGCAGGUCGACUGACAGGCGCGUUUACCCGUGGCAGGUCGCGGGGCAGGCGGGUAUAGCCGUGGUAGGUCGAGUGACUGGCGCGCAUAUCUGUGACUGAUCGAGUGGCAGCGGUGACAGAAAGCGGGGCAGGCGCAUAUAGCGGUGACAGGUCGAGUGACAGGUCUCAGUGGCAGCUGCCCCUGCCACGCAAAGAUUUUACCCCUACUGCGGUUAUCCUAACUGUCAAAAACUAAUGGGUAACUAGCAUGGAUUAGCUGCGGUCGUUAACCAAGCACUGAAACAAACCAACGUAACCAGAAAUAUAAUUUCGUAACAUUCAAUAUCAUAAAACACAUUCUCACUUGUGAAAUGUAAUCCCUUGCUGUCUGUUUUUUUUAGAUUUCUUUCGUUUGAACAUCCAUACGCAGCACAAAAGGUUGGCAUCGUCCAUGAAUCCAAAGUACAGGUGGAGAUAGCAGCGUUACCUAGCUACUUCCUAUGACAAGACCCCUGUUCCAAGAUGGCGGCGGUUUUGACGCAUGCUUAGAACCCCAAGGCGACAUCUAGUGUAUAUAUCUAUGGUGCUCAUCAUCAUCAGUUCUCUCUUCACAGCAGGUUAUGUCAGUGUACUGUUGGAGUAACUGAAUAACUCCGGGAUGUUGGUUUAUUUCGAGUCAGAGGGAGUGUCAGGCACGUCAAAAAGUGAGUAACUUUAGUAAUUUGUGGAUUAGUGCUGGAGAACUGUUUCGAACGAUUCACUAAAAAGAACCGGUUCAAAAGAACGAUUCGUUCGCGAACCGGACAUCACUAUUACAGAACCCGGAAACGUGGAAGGUUCAAUGUUACGAUACUUUCAGUUUUCUGACAAAGUAGUAUUUCAGAAAUAUUAUGUAUAACAUAUAUGAGCUAUAUCGGGGCACUUUGAUCAAAUGGUUCUGCUUCAUCUGUGUGUUUGCAGUGCUGAUAAAUAAAGUGUCUCUGCAGGUCACAGUACACAGAGAGGGUAUUAUUGGUGGUUCUGUUGUCCUGCCGUGUUUUUCCUCUGAGCACCGUUAUAAACUUCAAGACAUUGAUGUGAGCUGGAGACACAAUGACAGUGAGAUUGUGUAUGAUAUAGUCAAGGGUGAAGAUUCAUUGGCAGAACAGGACCCACGGUACAAGAACAGAGCUGAAACAUUCCCAUCAGAGUAUGAGAGGAGAAACUUCUCCAUCAGACUCAAGAACCUCACCUACACUGAUGCAGGAGAGUUCAACUGCCUCAUCACACCCUCACAUGAACAAGAGAAUGUAGAACUGAUCAUCAAGGAAGAAAAAGGAAACAAAUCCAAACAAGCAAACCAAGGACCAGAUUGGAUGAAGAUAAUAUCGAUAUUUGUAGGCCUUCUUGUAUCACUUGUAUUAAUUGUUGUGUCAAUAAUAGCCUAUUUUCGCUGGAGAAAAAAAUCACAAGCUGCCUUAUAGACCAUUUCGGAGUAGACAUCAUAGUUACAAGACUUGUGGCAGAAAAACAAGAGGUAACAAGUAACAAGGUAAGAGGAGGUAACAAGAGGAGGAAAACGGGCAAGAUCCACGGAAUAAGUUAUUUAUUGUACCUUUGGAUGUCAGAAUCGGAAUGCAAAAAAAAGAUGGUCUUGAUUUUUAUAGAAUACCGUCAUCGAAGAUGCUCUUUGAAGCUAAACGCAGAUGGUUGCAAGCCAUUAAACGGACAGACUAAAUUGAUGAAACCUGCAAUGAUUACCUUACUAUUAAAGCAUGAAUCAUGUAAACAAUAGAUGUAAAUGAUAUUCACAUAUAUUGCCCCUAAUUCCUUGACUGUCCUGUUUGGCCUUUUCCAAACUCCGAAUAUACCAGUCACAG